GUUCUUGAAGUUGAUUACAGCGGUAGUUUUUCGGACUACAGGUCUAGGUUAGAACCCUGGCAGGAAUU
rnacentral:tRNA from 1 species